UACGGGGGGAGCAAGCGUUGUUCGGAUUUACUGGGCGUAAAGGGCGCGUAGGCGGUCAGCACAAGUCAGUUGUGAAAUCUCCGGGCUUAACUCGGAAAGGUCAACUGAUACUGUGCGACUAGAGUGCAGAAGGGGUAACUGGAAUUCUCGGUGUAGCGGUGAAAUGCGUAGAUAUCGAGAGGAACACCUGCGGCGAAGGCGGGUUGCUGGGCUGACACUGACGCUGAUGCGCGAAAGCCAGGGGAGCGAACGGG
rnacentral:rRNA from 1 species